CACUCCCUAGAAGCCCUUCAAAUACAAUGUGUGCCACACGCAGUCUGGCUUUGUCUCCCUUUUAUGUCCUUGGCCCUCAUGCCCCAACAUAAAACUGGAUGAACUGACGUGAUGGGACAUGAAAAUGUGUUAACAGCCACUCCAGGUAUACCCAGCCAACAUAUGAAAUCACUCAAAUAGAACACACACAGAGUGUUAUGGGGAGGGACGGAAGCCUCCUACCAAUAUGAUAUCACGGCCUCAUUAUGGAGCCCAGUUUGGCCUCAAAGUCCCUACACUCCUACAUCAGCCUACCAAGUGCUGGAAACAAAGGUGUUCAUCGCCACCCCAACUCCUCUGUGAUCUUCAAAGGCACCUCUAAAGAGAGUUUUUCUGGAAAUGAACCUGUGAGGUUGUCACGAAAAGCGCACUUACCACUUCAACCUUGGAUUGCUCUAUGGUCCUCAGACUUGAGCAAACGUCUGACUCUGCAGGACAGCACCAAGAUCACUGUGCUCCAGCUCUAGAACUCCUACAUGGGGGGUGAGCCCUAGUAAUUGUAUUCCUAACAAGUUCUUGAGUGUAAUGAUUAAUCCUCACUAUCAACUAGACUGUAUGGAGCAUGACCCUAAGGAUUGGUGAGGCAUGCCUGUUGGUGUGAGAGUGAGGAAAUGUCCAGAGGGAAUAAACUAGGAAAGACUUGCCCUCACUGUGAAUGGUUCCAUGACAUAAGCCAAGCAUCUGGAAAGACUAGACACAGUAAGAGGGGAAAAGCAGCAGAGCUGCACUGCCCUCCUCCUUCCUGGCACAGCCACUCUGUCCUGCCUUACCUACUACAGACUGAAUUCUCUAGACUCCAAGUGAAACCAAACACUUCUUUGAAGUUGUUUUUGUCAGGUCACAGCAACAGGAACAACAGCCAGAUACCAGGGGAAUGAUGCUACACUGUGCCUCAAAGACCACAACUUGUGAUCACUAUGUUGGGACUAGUGACAGGUAAGUCUUUAGCUGGACCCAGAGACAAGUCCAGGAUGAUGCAGAAGUCUCCGCACAAGCAAGGAAAGGAGGGCUGAUGAAAAAGAAAAGCCCCAUGCCUGUGGCCAAUCAGAAGAGAGGAGCCGAUGUCUCUCCUGUUUCACAAUGAUGAACGAAGUUGAUGCUCUGAUAUGAAGGAUAUGAGCAGAUACCAGCAAUUUCAGAGGAUGUCACUCAAACAACCACCCUCUUCUCCAUACUACAGACACUGCCAUCAAUCUUUCCAUGUCUGUCAGCUACCAGAAUCAGAGGACAAGGGAGAGCAGGCUCUCUCUAAGCAAACUGGAACUACAGAGAAGCAACCAUGAAUGUACAUCAUGGCUAUAGGUAGAAGCAAGCAAGAGCUCUGUGAAGUAUGCUAGCAAAGAAGCUCAAGGGUCUCCAUGUCACAGGACAGAGAAACAUACAGUCCUCGCCAGGAGCCAGGUGGCUCUGGGCUUCAGAGCAGGCAUGCCACCACCUGCUGAAUGCAACUGGGUUCAAGAGCACUGAGGUGCAUCUCUACCCCAGGUGCUA